AUGAUGUGUGGCAGCAAGGGGAAACACGAGUCCAUGCUCUGUGCAUCCUCUUCCCGUGUUUCAAAGAAGGAUUGGCUGGUGCUGCCUGCUGGCGUCAAGUUCGAUCCCACGGAUCAGGUGCUGAUCGAGCACCUCAAGGCCAAAGUGAGUGCUGACAGUGCGAGAUCUCACCCUCUCAUCGAUUUGUUCAUACCAACCAUUGACAGCGAGCACGACAUAUGCUACACCCAACCUGAGAAACUUCCAGGUAUCACACAGAGUGGCUUAAGGAAGCAUAUCUUCCAGCGCAAUUUCAGGGCGUUCAAAAGGGGCACAUGGACGCGUCGCAAGAUACAGCCGGAGUGUGGCAUGCACGCGAUGUGGCACAAUACUGGCAAUACCUUGCCGGUGAUGGUCAACGGCUGGCAGACGGGCAGCACAAAGGUUCUGGUGCCGCACGCCAACAAGAACUUGGACCAGCAGAAGACCAACUGA
rnacentral:rRNA from 1 species